CUGCGGCUUAAUUUGACUCAACACGGGAAACCUCACCAGGUCCGGACACCGGAAGGAUUGACAGAUUGAGAGCUCUUUCUUGAUUCGGUGGGUGGUGGUGCAUGGCCGUUCUUAGUUGGUGGAACGAUUUGUCUGGUUAAUUCCGAUAACGAACGAGACUCUAGCCUGCUAACUAGCCGUUUCCGGCAUCAUAUGCUGCCGGCGGCAUAAAAUCCUUCUUAGAGGGACAGGCGGCUUCUAGCCGCACGAGAUUGAGCAAUAACAGGUCUGUGAUGCCCUUAGAUGUCCUGGGCCGCACGCGCGCUACAAUGAAGGUAUCAACGUGUCUUCCCAGGCCGAACGGUCCGGGUAACCCGCUGAACCACCUUCGUGCUAGGGAUUGGGGCUUGCAAUUGCUCCCCAUGAACGAGGAAUUCCCAGUAAGCGCGAGUCAUAAGCUCGCGUUGAUUACGUCCCUGCCCUUUGUACACACCGCCCGUCGCUACUUCCGAUUGAAUGAUUUAGUGAGGUCUUCGGACUGGUGCGCGAUAGCAUUAUUUACUAGUGCUGCCGAUGCUACUGGAAAGAUGACCAAACUUGAUCAUUUAGAGGAAGUAAAAGUCGUAAC
rnacentral:rRNA from 1 species